UACGAAGGGGGCUAGCGUUGCUCGGAAUCACUGGGCGUAAAGCGCACGUAGGCGGCUUUUUAAGUCAGGGGUGAAAUCCUGGAGCUCAACUCCAGAACUGCCUUUGAUACUGGGAAGCUUGAGUCCGGGAGAGGUGAGUGGAACUCCGAGUGUAGAGGUGAAAUUCGUAGAUAUUCGGAAGAACACCCGUGGCGAAGGCGGCUCUCUGGGACGGUACUGACGCUGAGACGCGAAAGCGUGGGGGAGCGAACAGG
rnacentral:rRNA from 1 species